UACGUAGGCAGCAAGCGUUGUUCGGAUUUACUGGGCGUAAAGGGUGCGUAGGCGGCUUUUUAAGUUUGGUGUGAAAUCUCCCGGCUCAACUGGGAGGGUGCGCCGAAUACUGAGAGGCUAGAGUGUGGGAGAGGAAAGUGGAAUUCCUGGUGUAGCGGUGAAAUGCGUAGAUAUCAGGAGGAACACCUAUUGCGAAGGCAGCUCGAUGGGACGUAACUGACGAUGCGACGCGAAAGCGUGGGGAGCAAAAAGG
rnacentral:rRNA from 1 species